CUAAGAUGGCGGCCGUCGCGAUGCCUGUGCGCAGGAUGCAACGGAGGCACUUGUCCCGAACGAAGGACACGAGACAGUUACUAAUGUACACUAAAAAUCUUUGUCAGAUUUGAGAUCGUAUUAACUACCAGCAAAAUACGUUCAUAUGUGGAAAAAAUAGCAGAUGGAGUCGAUAAAACGCCUGAACAAUGAAUACAGACCUCAUCGUCAAAGAUCGCGAGAAAAAGGCUUGAACAAUCGGGUCCCACCUAGCGAGGACCCAAGCUCUGUCCCAGACGCUCUCGAGUUACGUUGAGACUGAGGAUUCCCCAAUCUUCCACAAUGGACUUCACAUAGGAUGAACUGUUUCCAGUUUCAGCAAAACAGCAAGAAUUUAUGAAUGGAUGACUGCACCUUAGCACUCUUCACUCCCACUGCAUGCCUCACCUGGGCCACAGAGAAAACAAUGUUGCUGCCUGUACAUGGCACAUUUAACCUCUAACCUUACAGCUGAAUGUUCAGACUGAAUAUACAGAGGAGAACUGGUCCCCAGUGUUUUUGGUUAGUCUGGUUUCUCCAAAGGUUUUUUUUACUCCAGUAUCGACAUCUUACAGUUUUUUCUUAAUUAACCCCUGUUGCCUUUGGCUUGCUUGCUGUAUGUAUGACGACUAAUGCAUUUAACACCAACUAUUAAAACAGUGAGGGUGUUUUUGACCACA